UGCCCGAUCGUCUAAUGGUAGGACACAUGGUUUUGGUCCAUGGUAUCGAGGUUCGAGUCCUUGUCGGGCAGCAA
rnacentral:tRNA from 1 species